GCUCUUGUACUUAAGCAGAGCUGGUGCGCACGCUGAGCUCGUGAGGACGCCAAGCUCUUGCGUGCGUGCCCCACGCUCUUCCAGGAGUACGUUCCCCAUCGCUCUCACCUGCCCAAGUCUCGGGGCCGCUGGCAUGACGCCGGGGAGAGCUCAGCGCGAGGAGGAGAUGGACUCAGUGGUCUCUGAGGAUGUGGCUGCGGACUUCACCUGGGCAGAGUGGGCUUUGCUAAGUCCUGUUCAGAGGAACUCUACAGAGAUGUGAUGCUUCGAACCUUCAGGAACUUGGCCUCAGCAGAAACAUGUCUCCCUGGUAAAUGCCACGUGAGGAAUGUGGCAGAACUCUAUCGUCACUCAUCUUUUCAGACAUGGGAGUGGUCACAAGCGAGCGGAAAACCUAUGAAAAGGAAAGAACAUGGCAAGGUUCUUAUUUAUUGCUGUGCCCUUAGAAGACCUGUGACUACUCAUAAUGGAAUAGAGUCUUGGGAAUAUAAGGAAUGUGGCAAAGGCUCUCGUCGUCAUUACACGACAUAAAAGUACUCACCUUGUAAGUGUGAGACGUGGGAGAACCUUUAUUCCUUCCUCACACCCAGCAACACAAUUACGGUUGAAUAGUAUCUGCUUACUGACUGCAAUGAGUCCAUGAGGAACUGUGUGUUCACUCAGGAGGACGGCAUGAGAGACCUGAUCAGGGGAUCUCGCCCCGUGUUCGCCAGGUUUGUGGAAGGAGCAAGGAAGCAGGAUUUGUGGAUUGGAUGUACUCAUGGGGUAGUGUAUGGAAAGAAUUUUAGUAAUUCUUACGUACAGAGCUGGAAAAAUGGAAAAAUGGAGUGGAGCUAACUUGUAAUUGGGGAAAGUGGAAAAAGAUCCUCCAAAUAUUGAUACAGUAGGUUUGAGAGCUGGUCUUAUUUUUGGUUUGGACAAUACUUUUUGUGUUUUUAGACAUGACUGUGCAGUGGCCUUAUGGGUGUUCUCCUUAUGGGUGUUCUCCAUCCCCAUCAGAGCGAUGGUGUGGUUUUAUGCCCCACGGAUUGUUUAACAGAACCCGCCGACCAUUCUGUGAGCGCCGGCAGUAUGUGCCAGGUCAACUGUUGGGCUGUCAGGCAGCCCCUUCUUUUGUCCACAAGCAGAUGAAGCCCAGCUUCAAGACCCUACCGUGUGGUACCCAGAGCUUUAUUACAGAUUUUGUAAUCUGGAUGUGUUCCAGAGAAUGUCUGUACUUGGAAUAGGAUUAGUCUCGCCUGCCUUUUUUUUUUUUUUUGAUGCAAAAUGAUCAGAUGAAUCCUCUGAUGCGACAAUG